GGCUGCGGUAUUUCCGGAUGGAGACUGCGCUGGCCGCGAGGGGUGGCCCUGCAUCGCUGGCCCCUGCGAUCUAGGAAUUUCCAAACUUAAGGAAACUGAGGCAGACCCUGAACAAACGAGCUUGGACAAAGACAGAGAUCUCAAACCCUAGUCUUCCAAGACCCAGUGGCUUGCUUGCAGGCCUUUGGACGCCCGGGGCUUCCUGUUUAAGACGCCUAUACAGUUGCUGUGGAGACCAGCCCUGGGCCAGGAGGUCGAGCUGCAGAUGCGGAAGGGAGAGGUCGAGAUGCGCGCGUGCUCUUCCUCAGAGCCCGCAGCUCCCAGGCCACUCCACGCCCACGCCUGAAGCCCGGGUAUUCCUAAGGAAUUUCCACGGGGCUGUUUUGAUGAGGGGGGGGGGACGUCUGGGGAGAGGGCACUCAAUCUCUAGCCCAGGACAACUAUGGUGGAGUUUCAGAGUGACCGCAAGGGAAUCUGGGAAAACCCUCGGAGUGGAUUUUUCUCAUGGUGUCACUGAGAGUCUUUUGGUUUCACCUGUUUGAGCCUCCAUUGUCCUAAAGUCCCAUGUGCAGCCCUUAGAGCGUGACUGUUUAAAGCGGCACCGUGGUUCCAAGGGAGAAUCCUGCUGGGGUCUCCGUGGAGCAGAACAUAACUCCACUUACAACAGAGAGGCUAGCGGCCUGUAAGUGUACUCAGAAGAGGGAGAAGGGCCAGAUGACUGACUGGGUGGCCAGCUCCACCCGCAUGAGAGGAUUCUUCAGGAGCCAUCAACCGGGUGCUGGAGAGACAGAGCAACUGCUCUAGCCGAGCAGAGAGCCCAGCCAGGCUCAGUUCCCUUCCCCUCAUGCCAACUCCCAACCAUCUGCAACUCCAGCUCUAGGGAUCUGAUGUCUUCUUCUGGACACACACUUACACACACACACACACACACACACACACACACACACAAGCAAGCUAAGUGUUAAGUGUUCACAUAUAAAAUUAAUCUACUACAGGAAUUUAAUAAAACAAUCUUAUCUUUCUGGGGCUGGA